GUCUCCUUGUAAAAGAUAAAUAAGGAGUCGGGCCUGCUCGGUGAAAUUUUAACAGCUGCGGUAUUUUAACUGUACUAAGGUAGCAUAAUAAUUUGCCUUAUAAUUUGAGGCUAGAAUGAAUGGUUUGACGAAGGUUUAUCUGUCUCUAUUUCAUUUUUUAGAAAUUAAUUUUCAAAGUGAAAAAGCUUGAAUUUUUUAAAGGGACGAGAAGACCCUAUUGAGCUUAUAAUUUUAUAUAAUUAUAAUUAUUAAUUAUUAUAAUUAUUUAUAAAUUUUAGUUGGGGUGACUAAGGAAUAAAAAGUAACUUCCUUAAAAUAGAAAUUGUUAAAUGAAGUAACCAAUAUAAUAUUGCUUAUAAUAUAGUUACCAUAGGGAUAACAGCGUAAUUUAUUUAGAGAGUUCAUAUUGAAAAAUAAGAUUGCGACCUCGAUGUUGGAUUAAAGUAACCUUAAGGUGCAGAAGCCUUAGUUGGUAAAUCUGUUCGAUUUUUAAAACUUU
rnacentral:rRNA from 1 species